rnacentral:rRNA from 1 species
GACGAACGCUGGCGGCGUGCUUAACACAUGCAAGUCGAACGGAAAGGCCCUGCUUUUGUGGGGUGCUCGAGUGGCGAACGGGUGAGUAACACGUGAGAAACGUGCCCUAGACUUUGGGAAAAAUUCAGGAAAAUGGGGAUAAUAGCGGAUAGGAGCACCUGCUGCAUGGUGGGGGAGGGAAAGUUUAGGCGGUUGGGGAUGGACUCGCGGCUUAUCAGCAUGUUGGUGGGGUAGUGGCUUACAAAGGGUUUGCCGGGUAGCGGGCCGGAGAGGGUGACCGGCCCCAUUUGGACUGAGAUACGCCCCAGACUCCUCCGGGAGGCACCAGUGGGGAAUAUUGCACAAUGUGCGGAAGCCUGUUGCAGCACCGCCGCGUGCGGGAUGACGGCCUUCGCGUUUUGUACCGCUUUCUCCUGUGACGAAGCGUGAGUGACGGUAAUGGGUAAAGAAGCCCCGGCUAACUACGUG